AAUCUCCACAUGACGAAAGUCUGAUGGAGCAACGCCGCGUGAGUGAAGAAGGGUUUCGGCUCGUAAAGCUCUGUUGGUAGUGAAGAAAGAUAGAGGUAGUAACUGGCCUUUAUUUGACGGUAAUUACUUAGAAAGUCACGGCUAACUACGUGCC
rnacentral:rRNA from 1 species